GCUUAAUGAGACACAAACGAUUCUACAGACACUUGAGCAGAGACUUCAGGAGCAAAAUCAAAAGAACUUGGACUUGGAAAGACUGAGCCAAGACGGACAUAAUGAGCUGGAGAGCCAGAUGAAGACUCUUGAAGAGGAACUUGAGCGUGUACAAGCAGACAGUGAGAGGUCUAAAGAGGAGAGGGAUGAGCUCGUGUCCAGACUAAGUGCUGUCACUGAGGACAGAGAGCAGCUGCAGCAGGCUCUGGACAUACUUGCACAGGAGAAGCAACAGCUCCAGCAGCUCCUGGACAACAGGACAGACAUGGUAUCUGUGUCUUUGCAGAGUGACUUCAAUCAGGCAGACACCCAAGAGGACAUGGCCAAACUUCAGCAGGAGAUGGAUCAGCUUCAGGCUUCUCUGCAGACCAUCAGUGCAGACAAGAGCCAACUGGAGAAUGACCUGCAACAGAACACGCAGAAGCUUGAUGAGACACAGAGGAUUCUACAGUCUUUGGAGCAGAUGCUUCAGGAGCAGAAUCAGAAGAACUUGAACUUGGAAAGACUGAGUCAAGACAGAGACACUGAGCUGGAGAGACAGACCAAGGAACUUGAGCGUGUACAAGCAGACAGUGAGAGGUUUAAAGAGGAGAGGGAUGCGUUUCAGUCCAGACUGAGCACUCUAACUGAGGACAGAGAGCAGCUGCAGCAGGCUCUGGACACACUUGCACAGGAGAAGCAGCAGCUCCAGCAGUUCCUGGACAACAGGAUGGAAAUGCU
ensembl:lncRNA